rnacentral:rRNA from 1 species
AUUGAACGCUGGCGGCAGGCCUAACACAUGCAAGUCGAGCGGGGUUUUCGGACCUAGCGGCGGACGGGUGAGUAAUGCGUAGGAAGCUGCCCGAUAGAGGGGGAUACCAGUUGGAAACGACUGUUAAUACCGCAUAAUGUCUACGGACCAAAGUGUGGGACCUUCGGGCCACACGCUAUCGGAUGCGCCUACGUGGGAUU